AACAACAACUGUCUGCAAAUGACAUAAGACUUACAAGUGGCUGUGCAUAAAGAUCUGAUGAGAGUUCAUUAUAAUGCAUUUGACAAGAGAAUUUGAUUAUUUCUGUGACAUCAUUUUUUAAAAUAUUUCAUUUCUUUAAGUAAUCUCUACACUCAACGUGCGGCUUGAACUCAUGACCCGGAGAUCAAGAGUUACAUGCUCUUCUGGCUGAGCCAGCCAGGCACCCCACUGUAACAUCACUUCUAAAAUAACUAAAAUUGUUAUAGGAGGAGGUAGUUGAGAGGACGUGACUGCCAGUUGACCCACAAACUGGACCUGGACAAUUAGCGGCUCCUAACCUGCUCCCCUAUCGUUGGAAUGUACAUUCUGUUCACCAUUCUCACAGUAGGAGCUGUUUUCAAGGAUGCAACCUUGAGAGAGCAGUGUGGUAGGAGCUGUUUUCAAGGAUGCAGCCUUGAGAGAGCAGUGUGGUAGGAGCUGUUUUCAAGGAUGCAGCCUUGAGAGAGCAGUGUGUUGCUGAGUCCAUCUGGAAGGAAUAUGUGAGUGAUGCAGUUAACUAAAUAAACUUGUAAGGCUCUGAUGGUUGGUUGCAGAGAUUUACUCAUCCUUUGACUGCCCAGGACAAGUCUUACAUGUUAAAAAAAAAAGUGAAGCCAAUGGAAAACUUCAACAAACCAAUCCAGGCAGGACUACUAAUGGCCUUCAGGAAUGAAAGAGUUACCCUGCCUGCUAAAGAACAAUGACCAGCUGAGGUAAGUGUUCAUUGAAGGCAAAGGGAAUACUGAAUGGGUAUUAGAAGACCUUCUUCUAAUAUUUAUUUAUACCACCUACUUAUAGGUGGUAUAAAUACCACCUACAACCACAUGACGAGUUACAGAAAUGACUCUAAUAGUGAUGAAUAUUUCCUCAUUUUGUCAUAAACAUGUUUGUGUGCAUAUAUACACGUAAAGAAGCAAAUAUCUUUGUUUCUUAUUCCAUUAUCAUGAAUUGACUUUAUAUUAGUUUUUAAGUAUUGCUAAUUUUACAUCAUAGUAUUUAAGUUACAGGAUAUCAGAAGGGUAAACACCACUCAAGGACUCUACCUCAUCUUCUGGAGAAGGGAUUAAUACAUGUUCAGUUAAAUGCAGGAGAGCUGUGUCCUGUUUGGUAGAAUUCUGACCUUGUUUAUUGUCUUUAUUUGGAGAUUAAGUAUAGUUUAAGGAGAUAUGUGUUGGUGACAAAUUGACAGGUGGUGAACUUAUGUUAGUUUUAUGUAUCAUCAUAACAGGGCUACAGGAUACUCUGUUGGUAAAACAUUAUUUCUGGGUGUGUCUAUGUGGAUGUUUCCAGAGUAAUUAACAUAUGAAUUGGUAGACUGAGUAAAGACCACCCUCACUAAUGUGGGUGGGCAUCAUCCAAUCCAUUGAAGGCCUAAAUAGAACAGUCAGAGGAAGGGCAAAUUUAAUCUUUGCUUCAGUUUUGCUUGAGUUGGAAUAUCCUUCUUCCCUUGCCCUUCUAGAUUGCCACUCCUGGCUCUUGCGCCUUUAGACUCAGACUGGAAUUUACACAGGUGGCCCCUCAUUUCUCAGCCCCUUAGAUUCAGACUGAAUUACAGCUUUCCUAGUUCUCCAGCUUGUAAAUGGCAGAUCUUGGGAUUUUUUGGCCUCAAUAAUCACAUGAGCUAAUUUGUAUAGUAAGUCCCCUCAUCUAUAUAGCUGUAUAUAUAUCUAUAGCUCUCUAUCAAUCCAUCCAUCCUAUUGGUUCUGUUUCUAUGGAGAACCCUGAAUAAUACAAUAUGGAAUCUAAAACAAUCAAAUUCAUAGCAGAGAAUAGAAUGGUUGUUGCCAGGGGCUGGGGUGAGGGGGAAUGGAGAGAUGGGAAAAGAGUACAAAGUUUCAGUUAUGUAUGAUAAAUAAGUCCUAGAGACCUAAUGUCUAGCAUAAUGACUAGUUAGAAAUACUAUAUUACAAACUUGAGAUUUGCUAAGAGGUGUUCUCGCCACACACAAAAAAGGUAAUUACAUUAGGUGAUGGAUAUGGUAAUUACCUUGAUGGUAGUGAUCAUUUUACAAUGUAUACAUUUAUCAAAACAUAAAAUUGUAGGGAUACCUGGGUGGCUUAGUCGUUGGAUGGCUGCCUUUGGCUCAGGUCACCAUCCCAGAGUCCUGGGAUUGGGCUGCCUGCUCAACAGGAGGCCUGCUUCUCUCACUCUCCCUCCCGCUCCCCCUACUUGUGUUCCCUCUCUAGCUCUGUCUCUCUCUGUCAAAUAAAUAAAAUCUUAAACAACAACAACAACAUCAAAUUGUAUACCUUAAAUAUAUACAAUUUCUAUUUGUCAGCUAUACCUUAUUAAACCCGAAACAAACAAGGAUAAAAACAUCCAGGUCAGAAGGAAAGAAGUAAAACAUUAUUUACUUUCAGAAGACAUAGUUUUCUAUAUAAGAAGUCCUAAGGAAUCUACACAGAAAAAACUAUUAGAACUAAUAAAUGAGUUUAGAAACAUUGCGGAUACAAGAUCAAUAUGAAAAUCAGUUGUAUUUCUAAAUACUAGUAAUUAACAAUUCAGAAAUGAAUUAAAGAAAGUAAUUUUAUUUAUAAUAGCAUCAAAAAGAAGUAUUAGGAACAACCAAGGAAAGGCAUGACUUUUACACUGAAAAUUACAAAACAUUAUUGGGUGAAAUUAAAUUAAUGGAAAUAUAUUCUAUGUUUAUAGAUUGGAGGGCUUAAUAUUGUUAAGAUGGUAAUACUACCCAAAAUGAUCUUCUGAAAAAAAAAUGAUCUGAUUCAAUGUAAUCGCUAUCAAAAUUUCAGAUGCCUGUUUUCCCCUAACAUUGGCAAUCUGAUUUAAAAUUCAUAUGGAAAUUCAAGGAACCUGUUAAGAGCUAAAAGAAUCUUGAAAAAGAGCAACAAAGUUGGAGGACUCAUUUCCCUGUUUCAUAAUUUACUACAAUGGUACAGUAAUCAGAGCAGUGUAAUUUUGUCACAAAGAUAGUUCUAUAGAUCAGUGGGAUAUAGUUGAGAGUCCAGAAAUAAACCAGUAUGUCUUGAUUUUCAGUAAAGAUGCUAAGACAAUCAAUGGAAAAAGAACAGUCUUGUUAACAAAUCUUUCUGGGAAAACUAUACCCGUCCCACACUACAUAUGUGAAUUAACUCAGUGUAUCAAAGAACCUGUAUGUAAGAACUGGAACUGCAAAAUUAUUACAAGAAGGCAUAGGCGUUUUUGUAUUUUUUGGUAAAUACCCAGUAGUGCAAUAACUAGAUUGUAGGAUAGUUUUAUUUUUGAGGACCCUCUACUUUCUUCCACAGUUGAUGCACCAGUUUUCCUUUCUACCAACAGUGCAGGAGGAUUCCUUUUUCUCCACAUCUCGCUGAUACUUCUUUCUUGUGGUUUUGAGUUUAGCCAUUCUCACAGGUGUGAGCCGAUAUUUCACUGUAGUUUUAAUUUAUAUUUCUUUGAUGGUGAAAUAGGUGGUAGAGUUUAAGGAGUGCACUUGUGAUGAGCAGUGCGUGUUGUAUGGAAUUGUUGAAUCACUAUAUUGUACACGUGAAACUAAUAUAAUGCUGUGUGUUAAUUAUGCUGGAAGUAAAAUAAAAACAAUUUAAAAAA